GGUGGCGGUGAUUGUCGCUGACCCGGAAGAAGCUUGGCUCGCCCGAAGGAGGGGAGGAUUAAUGACAAAGACGGCCCCGUUCUUUCCCAUUCAAUCCAGUCUUCGGGGGCGCGCCUAGUCAAAGAGACGAAUGGGGGAAGGGGUGUGCGUGUGUGUGUGUGUUUAGGGAGGGGAGACGCCAGCGACGAAACGCCUGAAGACUCACCCUGGAUAGAUUUCUUAAAAACUAAAAAGGUGCGGCGGGGAACAAGGGGCGUAGGCACAAGCCAUAGCUUCUUGUCCUUUGCAGUAAGACAUUCAUUUGUUUAAGGUGGCAAGGCCUCCUUUUUAUGGAUCCAGGUUGUCGCCGAGGUGUGUCUCAGUGUGUGACCUCCCCGGCGCCCAGAACAGUGUGCACUUCAGCGUGUGGGACGUUGUAUUCCAGGAGCCACCGUGUGCCGACACCUUGGUGUGCCCACAGCUGUGCAGAAUGAAUCACAGAUACCAGAGAUGGAAAACACCUGUUACUGUCGGUCAUCGAGCUUGGCAAGCACUGGACAAAGGCCAAUGAAUCCAUGGAUGAUCACACCACUAAUGGAAUAACUCAUUACUGCUAAGAGAUGCUGGAAGAUUUCUUACAGAAGGUGUAUGUGGAACUAUUUGGAUGGAAAGAACUGGGUGUGGUACCCAGCAGAAGGCACAGUGCUCCUGCUGGUUUUAUGGGUCUCAGGCUCUGGAUCUGCGCUGGGUUCUGACCUUGCUUCUGCUUCUGUGAGUCUCUGCCUUUCCCACUGCCUACCGGUCUUAGAAGACUGAAGUCCCUUUUCUUCCCGGACUCACUCUGGAGCUUGCAUACCUCCUAAAUAGAUGGCAUGCACUGCUUUUUCUCUUCCUUAAGCUCAGUUUCUUAAGCAUAUGCAAAAGACAUAUAUUUGAAUCUCUUUUAUACUAAUCUAAGCUGUUCAGGGUUUGGUCACAUGCCAACCAAACCAGAGCUAUUUUGUGGAUGUUUUUCUAAUUGCAUUCAACUUCACAAUUUACCUGAGAAAAUUACAGCAUUUCUAUCACCAGUUUUUAUCCAUAUUCAAUCUUCAAUCAUCCCUCUGUGGAAAAGUGGGAGAUUUUUAACUGUUUCAUGUCCGCUUCUAGCAUUAGCCAUAUGAGGCUAAUGUAAGCUUCAUAUUUUCAUUUGUGUCACCAUCUGUCCCCUCACCCUCACCCCAACAACAAAUUUCUCUAUAAUUCCAGGGCCCAGUUCAGCCUGGCCUUAGUUAGAAAAAUAAGGCCUCUCUGCCUAUCCCUGCUCUCUCCUACUACUCAAUCCACUCUGCACCCUCUAACCUUCCCAUCUCCAAGGUCAACUGUAGCCCUCCAUAGGGGCCAUGAUGUCAUUAUUUGAAUUUGCUAGCAUCCUUCCCUUAGGGGAUUCUUUCUUCCCCUAUUCCAUGUGGUCCUGGUGGAGCUGUCAAUCAUCUUGUCUGAGGUUCCCCCUCCCCCAGUUACAAGUGCCUAUUCCACUCUUGGCCAAUCAUAUUAUUCCAUCUCCAUACCCCACAGUGAUUGGUUCAGGGAGGGGCAUAUGACCCAAGUAGAGACCAUCAGAGAUUUCCAUGAGAUUUAUAUACAGCUAUUGGGAGAGAGAAGUUCUUUAAGCUGGAAGAAUUUGAGGUGCUGCCUAUCAGUUGUCAUCUUGCUCACCACUUGGAAAAGGCCUAUCUGAAAAAUGAAGUUGAGGGGCCGGCCCUCUGGCGGAGUUAAGUUCCCAUGUACUCUUCGGCCCCUGGGGGUUUCCCUGGUUUGGAUCCCGGACACUGACAAGGCACCCCUCAUGGGGCCACGUUGAGGUGGGUCCAGCAUGCCACAACUAGAAGGACCCACAACUAAAAUAUACAACUGUGUGCUGGGGGAAUUUUGGGAGAAAAAGCAGGAAAAAGAAAAGAUUGGCAACAGUUGUUAGCUCAGGUGCCAAUCUUUGAAAAAAAGAAAAGAAGUUGAACAGAGGCAAAAAGGAUAUGAGGGAGAGACAGAGCUCUGGUGGUAUCAAUUCAGUUCUUGGACCCAGCAGUUUUUAACACCAGAUACCCCCUUGGACUUCCUAGUAUGUGAACCAAUGAAUUCCCCUUUAUACCUGAGCUGACUGAGUUGUCAUCUACAAUUGAAAAACUAUUGACGUAUUCCUUCUCAGAUAUUUACCCUCUUCACCCACCUCCUAUUGCCACCCCAGUUUGGCUGCUGUUACAUGUGGCUGGCAGCUAAAGCUGUGUCCCUCUGCCUAGAAAACAUUCAUUUAAAGAAUUCUUUUAUACUCACUAAAAAAUAGUUUACUUAUUCCGUUAUUCUUAACUUUGUAUUAUAGAAAAAUUUAAACAUAAGCAAAAGAAAGAAUAGUAUAACAAAUCUUCAAGAACCCAUCUCCCAGCCAGCAUAAACAAUGAACAGCAACCAAUAUUUAUUGACAUAUGCUCAGUUUUCCAUGUUUCCAUUCUCUCUUACAUCUCCAUGCCUUUGGACUCACAGUUGCCUCUAUGUUUCAUCUUUCUGUAUUUUUCAUUUGCUUACUCUUAGAACAUUAGGUCUUUCAGCCAAAGUCACCCAGAUUUGCUUCAAGAUUUAGCACAGGUGUCAUUUCUACUAUGAAGCCUUAUUGACUUCCAUAUACAAGUUGGGUGUUCCUUCUGCUCUUUUCUGGUAGCUCCUUCUUCAUACUUUUAUAUUACAAAGCGCUUAUUCAUUCAACAAACAUCUAUUGAAAAAUUUCACCAUUUCAGGCAGUGGAGAACUAGCAAUGAACAAAACAGGCAAAAAUUCUCACCUUCAUGGAGUGGAGGGAGACUGACAAUAAACAUCAUAAGUAAAUAAAUUAUAUUGGAUGUUAGAAUGUGAUAAGUGCAACAAAAAAAAGGGAGUUUAAGGGGAAUUGUGUGUAUAUUCAAAUUUUAAAUAAGGAAGAUCAGAGAGGCUGUGCUUAUUAUACUGCAUAAUGGAUACCUGCUUACUUUUUUGUCUCUGCAACUGGACUACAUCUUCUUGAAAGCAGGGAUUGUGUCUUACUCUUUUUGUAGCCCCAGCACCUAGUACAGUAGUGCAUUUUGUAACAGUUGUGGAAUAAAUAGAAUAAACAAAAAAUACAAGACACAAACUCGAAAGACUUUUGGUGUCAAGGAAGCUUUUUUAAAGAUAGUACAUAUACAUGGAAAAAAAUUCAAACAGUUCUCUCUGUAAAAGAGUAUAUAAUACAAAUCAAAUUUUCCAUCUAGCCCUGGGCCAGUCCUCCAAAAUUCAUCCCGAUGGCAUCCACUGUUACUUAUUUUUUAUGCAUCACGCCAGAGAUUAUCUACCUAUCAUCUAUCUAUCUAUUGAUCAAUCUAAAAUUAUGAGUAUUAUCUUGGAAAUCAUUUUAUUUCAGUAUAUUCAGAACUGCCACAUUUUAAAAUUUAGCUAUACACUAUCGUCUGUACAUAUGCAUUGGAAUAUAUUUUACCAGGCUUCAGUUGAUGGAUAUUUAAGUAGUAAUGAAGCUGUAUUGAUGAACCACUCAGCUCUUUGGGAAGUCAGGUUGUGCUGAUUCUGAUGAUCAAAUCUUUCAUACUUAACUAAGUCAACACCUCCCCAUCGGGGAGGAGGCCAGUCUCUACACCUCUUCAUGUAUUAUUUAGUUUAACCACAACCUCCUGAAGCUGUUAUUAUGAUGCUCACUUUACAAAGAAGAAACCUGAGUUUUUCAGAGGUUAGGUAAUUUGGCCAAGAUCAUACAGCUUGGAAGCAGGGAGCAGGCCUGUCUGACUCCACAGGCCAUGUUUUGCCACCAUUGGAGUUUUGGGUUCUUCGGCUAGGGAUGAAACAGAGAGGAUUUACACAGACUGCCUAGUAGACUGUCUUAGAUGAUCUUUAAGAUUCUUUCAGAAUUUGGAAAUGCUCUAACACUGUGCCACCUACAACUGGCCGUUCUCUGCUAUUUUCUUUCUGGCUUUGUGCCCUGGGAGACUGACCCCUGCACCAACUGGGCUCCUUUGCCCUCUUGCUGCUGGUCAGCUUUCCUCAAAGGCAAGCACCAGCAUGAGACUGGAGGAUGGGGGAACAGAGAGAUUAAUAGAUUUCUUUCCCACUCCCUCCCUGCUUUGGCACCACAGUUUUAGGGGUGACCAUGUCCCACCAUUAGGAUAGUUAUGGGAGGGUGCCCCCUUCUCCUUGGGGCCACCUGUCAAUGGACUCUGGUAACACAAUUUCUGCCUUUUGCCCAAAUAUCUUCCCUCUCCUUCUAGUCUCUGGAUGUUUCAGCAUUCUUUCUUGGUUCCUAUAACCAUGCCCACACUUUUGUAAAUAGUCUCCAUAUUAAAAGUCUCUUCAGGUGAACCAUUUACAAUUAGAUUUUAUUUCCUGUCAUGAUCCUAUUGUAAAUACUAUUUUAAGAUAUGCCUUUCAGGGACUCUACAAGACCCAAUGAAAUUUAUCUCUAAUGGUAAAAUUUCAGGUUAGUAGGGCCAGCUCUUUGGAGCUAAUCUAGACCUUUUAACUCUCAAAUUCUAUCUACUUGGCAGCAGCUUACUUGGCCAAGCACUGAGAACUCCUCUCCUAUUGGUGUGUGAGGUUGUCAGCAGAUGGAUUUUUUUGUCAUUUAUCUAUUUCUUAUAAUUUUAUGUAUGCAUCAGUAGGCAUUUAACAUUUUAACAGUGUUUUCUAAGACACACACAUACACAACUUUUCUUCCCCUACAGAACUGCUGGAGAGAUGUAUUAGUUAUCUAUAGCUGCAUAACAAAUUACCACAAAACUUAGCAGCUUAAAAUGUUAUUUGUGGUUUUUAAACAAACCCACAGUUUCUGUGAGAGUAUCUUAGUUGAGUAAUUCUGGCUCAAGUUCCUUCAGGAAGUUGUAGUCAAGCUGUCGGCUGGCACUGAAGUUGUCCGAAGGUUCUGCUGGAGGAGGUUCCAGUUCCAAGCUUAUUCACAUCAUUGUCGGCAGGCCUCCAUUCCUCGCUGGCUGUUGAUUGGACAUAGUUCCUUACCAGAACUGUCCUAACCAGCUGCGGAUACCAAAAGUGUGAGUCAUUUGUUGACAAUACACGAUUAUCAAGAUGAAGUCUUUGUUUAAUUGGUUUUAAUUAUUACCACCAACCCCAGAAACUGGCUACAAGUGAACUCGUCAUGAGCUUAAAUAGAAGUGAAUGCAGUUUUUCUGACUAAGCCUAAAUAUGAUUUUAUAAAUGGAAAAAACUGAUCCUAAGAAGUAGCAAUCUGGGCUUUGUCUUUCACCUGCAUCUGCCUUUGAGUGGACUUACUGAAGAGCUUUGGGUGUCACCUGGAGAUGUCACCAGGGGGAUCGGAUCUGGCCAUCAAAACUCUGCCACAUUCUGGAAAC